AACGAACGCUGGCGGCAGGCUUAACACAUGCAAGUCGAGCGCCCCGCAAGGGGAGCGGCAGACGGGUGAGUAACGCGUGGGAAUCUACCCAUCUCUACGGAAUAACGCAUGGAAACGUGUGCUAAUACCGUAUACGUCCUUCGGGAGAAAGAUUUAUCGGAGAUGGAUGAGCUCGCGUUGGAUUAGCUAGUUGGUGGGGUAAAGGCCUACCAAGGCGACGAUCCAUAGCUGGUCUGAGAGGAUGAUCAGCCACACUGGGACUGAGACAAGGCCCAGACUCCUACGGGAGGAAGCAGUGGGGAAUAUUGGACAAUGGGCGCAAGCCUGAUCCAGCCAUGCCGCGUGAGUGAUGAAGGCCCUAGGGUUGUAAAGCUCUUUCACCGGUGAAGAUAAUGACGGUAACCGGAGAAGAAGCCCCGGCUAACUUCGUGCCAGCCGCCGCGGUAAGAC
rnacentral:rRNA from 1 species